AAAAAUGGCUGGGUUAUUUUUUAACCCAAAAUGCUGGGUUGAGUCUGUUGGGUUGUUUUGCUGGGUUAAUUUUUAACAUUUUAAACACUUUUUGGGUAGUUUCAGUUUUCUGGUUGUUGGGUUAAAACUGCUGGGUUAUUAUACUGGGUUGUUUGAAGAGGCUCACGUGCUUCGCGCCUUUGAUGUUUGAAUGUGCUCAGCAACGGUCGUCGUGAAAGGACAGAGUCACUGGAAGCAGUUGUUUCAAGAGAGUGCAGAGUUUUUAUGUCCAUCCAUUAAUAAGGCUAGCAAGACCUUCAUACAACUUCAGCCAAUUGCAACAAAUGUGGUGGAAGUUCUUCUCUGGACAGAAUCCUCGAAAUCCUUUCCUUUAUUUCCUGGCCAUGGGAAACAUGCAAUCAGUCUCUCUGAUGGAGCCAAUACGGAAGUGACUUAAACUGCAAUUCAGCCAAGAUGGCGACGGCACGCACCGCCUACUUUAGGCUUCAAAAAUGCUCUUCACAAUCAAUGGGUGACAUCACGGACACUACUUUCAUAUUUUUUUUCAGUCUAUGGUUUAAAGGCAUUUUACGUGCUUGAAAAUAAAUACCCCAGGCAAUGUGCAUCUACUGUAGUCUGUCAUUUUCCAAAUGGAUGAAUCCUCUGCUGUUCGGUUCCUUUGUACAUCUUUGUUCGUGAGGAGUAACUUUAAUAAAUGAAGUAUUUUUAGUCAAAUACAUUCCAUACUCUGAAACUUGGAACAUCUGUUCUGUAAAAAACAUCUGUAAAUUAUUUUACUUUUAAUUUAACAAUUACAUUGUUUAUUUUCUUACACUGCUGCAGUUUUGUUUAUGUACAUUUCAGUAUUUCAUUUAUAUAUUGUAUAUACUUAUAUACAAAUUC